GACCGCGUAGCUCAGUUGGCAGAGCAUUGGGCUAGUAUUCCAAAGGUCGUAGGUUCGGUUCCCACCGUGGUCA
rnacentral:tRNA from 1 species